AUUGAACGCUAGCGGGAUGCCUUACACAUGUAAGUCGAACGGCAGCACGGACUUCGGUCUGGUGGCGAGCGGCGAACGGGUGAGUAAUACAUCGGAACGUACCUUAUCGUGGGGGAUAACGCAGCGAAAGCUGUGCUAAUACCGCAUACGCCCUGAGGGGGAAAGCGGGGGAUCGAAAGACCCAGCGCGAUGAGAGCGUCCGAUGCCUGCUUAGCUUGUUGGUGGGGUAAAAGCCCACCAAGGCGACGAUCAGUAGGUGGUCUGAGAGGACGAUCAGCCAAACUGGGACUGAGACACGGCCCAGCCUCCUACGGGAGGCAGCAGUGGGGAAUUUUGGACAAUGGGGGCAACCCUGAUCCAGCAAUGCCGCGUGAGUGAAGAAGGCCUUCGGGUUGUAAAGCUCUUUUGUCAGGGAAGAAACACCGGCUCUAACACAGUCCGGGAAUGACGGUACCUGAAGAAUAAGCACCGGCUAACUACGUGCCAGCCGCCGCCGUAA
rnacentral:rRNA from 1 species